CCUACGGGCGGCAGCAGUGGGGAAUAUUGUGCAAUGGGCGCAAGCCUGACCCAGCAACGCCGCGUGAAGGAAGAAGGCUUUCGGGUUGUAAACUUCUUUUGUCAGGGAAGAGUAUAAGACGGUACCUGACGAAUAAGCCACGGCUAACUACGUGCCAGCAGCCGCGGUAAUACGUAGGUGGCAAGCGUUGUCCGGAUUUACUGGGUGUAAAGGGCGUGUAGCCGGGUUGACAAGUCAGAUGUGAAAUCCUGCGGCUUAACCGCAGAACUGCAUUUGAAACUGUUGAGCUUGAGUACUGGAGAGGCAGACGGAAUUCCUAGUGUAGCGGUGAAAUGCGUAGAUAUUAGGAGGAACACCAGUGGCGAAGGCGGUCUGCUGGACAGCAACUGACGGUGAGGCGCGAAAGCGUGGGGAGCAAACAGGAUUAGAUACCCGGGUAGUC
rnacentral:rRNA from 1 species